rnacentral:rRNA from 1 species
CCUACGGGAGGCAGCAGUAGGGAAUCUUCCACAAUGGACGAAAGUCUGAUGGAGCAACGCCGCGUGAGUGAAGGAGGGUUUCGGCUCGGUAAGCCCUGUUGGUAGUGAAGAAAGAUCGAGGAAGUAACUGGCCUUUAUUUGACGGUAAUUACUUGGAAAGUCACGGCUAACUACGUGCCAGCCGCCGCGGUAAUACGUGGGUGGCAAGCGUUGUCCGGUUGUAUUGGGCGUAAAGCGAGGGCAGGCGGUGCAAUAAGUCUGAUGUGAAAGCCUUCGGCUCAACCGGAGAAUUGCAUCAGAAACUGGUGAACUUGAGUGCAGAAGAGGAGAGUGGAACGCGAGGUGUAGCGGUGGAAUGCGUAGAUAUAUGGAAGAACACCAGUGGCGAAGGCGGCUCUCUGGUCUGCAACUGACGCUGAGGCACGAAAGCAUGGGUAGCGAACAGGAUUAGAUACCCCUGUAGUC